rnacentral:lncRNA from 1 species
CAAUAAAUUUCUUAACCCUAGCAUCAUCAAUAUUAUAAUUUUGAUCGAAAGACUCCCAUAAUUCAUUCAAAAUUUUUAUCAUACAAUACAAAUUGUAUAGUGAAUUAGCCAAAUUGUCUGUGGCAUAGUGGCACAAGAAAAUAUAAUAUUUUCAAGCAUGAAGUGAGCUGAAAGUCUGUGGAUCUCCAUCACCCUUUUUGAGUUUUGGACCAUCCUUAGUUGAGAACCUUGCAAGAUUCAAUGUGGUCAAAUAAAAUAGCAUCUUAUGUUGCUACCUUUAGAAAUUUAGCCCACUAUAUUUCUUUGGUAUGAUUAACCAUAAUAAAUACAGCAAGGCUAGUUGUUGAGCCAUUGUUUGGGUCGCAAUAUGAGCUGACAAUUGGGCCACGGUUCGGAUCACAACAAAAUUUGGCAAUUGAGUCACAAUCUGGAGCUCAGUACACAUCUGUAGGGGUUGAUCCAGUUGCCAUUUGUAAAACAUCAAACAACUGUUAAUUGUCUACAAUGGACAAACAUAACCUAUUCAGUUUAGAACAUGUUUAAAAUUUUAAGUAAAAAAUGUCACAUAAUAUGAUAUAUCAAAAACAUAACAAACAGAAAAUAAACAAUUGCAAGGAAAGGACAAACCACAGCUAAAUGGAAUAACGGAAUAGCAAAUUGAGGCAUAUGCAAAUAUAGUGUCCUUAAAAACACAUUUUCUCUCUCAUAGCAAGUGUUUGAAGUUUUAUUAAUCAUUUGUCUACCAUGGUACAUUGGAGAAAUCAAUAGAAUGGAGCAUUAAGUUUCUACUUCGAAAAACUGAAUUCUAUGUAAACUACACUAAGACUCGGACAAAAAGUGAGAAUUUUUGGACAGUAAGAGACGGAGAAUUUUGGACAACAGAUUUAAGUAUUUUGUUAAUUUCCAUGCGUGGAACAUAGGAAAAAUGACCUCUAUUAUUUCACCCAUUAACAAUCCAUUACAACCCGUUAAACAAUAGGAUAUUAACCACUGAAAUUUCAGGAGUUAAAGAAGAUAGAAAGGCAAUUAAAAAUAAAUAAAAUAAAUAGAAAAAAUAGAGACAA